AAAGCAGGUCUGCAAUUGCAGCACUUCAUUUCCGUAAAGUGUUGUCAUUAACCCUGCUGAGAGUAUCUUUCUGCUACAAAGCUCCUAUUCUUCCUCACUCUGGUGAUGAGGAAGCUCUGUAACUGAACAUUU